rnacentral:lncRNA from 1 species
GCCGGUGACCCAGAGCUCACCACCGACUUCUUCGUUCCGAUGGGCACCAACAAAGCCGACUUGAACGGUGACUACUUUACCUCGAUGGUGUUCCGUGGGGAGCCCGCAGUACCCGAGGGUGCCAAGAUCGGCGUGAAGAGGAUCACUUCUGACUCCUUCCCAGUGCUCACCGGACUCGGCGUGUCAUCCGCCCAGAUCAAGUACUUGCCCGGCGGCAUCAACCCUCCCCACACCCACCCCAGGGGCACCGAGCUGUUGAUUGUGCAGAAGGGAAUCCUCACCGUGGGUCUGGUGGACACCACCAACAAGUUCUACACCAAGGAGUUGCAGGCGGGCGACGUGUUCGUGUUCCCCAGGGGUUUGGUGCACUACCAGAUCAACUUGAGCCACAAGCCAGUGAUCGCUUACGUCGGGUUCAGCAGUUCCAACCCCGGUACCGUGUCACUGCCUGCAACCUUGUUCGGGUCAGGCAUCCCAGACAACGUGCACAUGGCUGCAUUCAGGGUCAACCAGCAUGUCGUUGACAAGCUCCAGGCUCCAUUCAAGAUGUAGAUGACUAUUUGAAAUGGAUAUCGGACGACAUUCUUGUUUGAAACA